rnacentral:lncRNA from 1 species
CAGUGAUAACACCGCCAUCAAGAAAUGAAGUCUUUCAAGGGAGAAUGAGCAGGAAGUGAUGGAGAAAUGCUGCAGAAGAAGUCCUCAUGGAAGCAUACGUCUCAUGAAAGGGAAAACGAGCGGAGAAGAGAGAGAAUAUCUGGAGUCAGACGUGACAACCUGUCUACAUCAAAGUGGAGAAUUCAGAGGAAAGAAGCAGUCCCGUAAAGCUCUCUCCCAGAGUUCACAAAGUUCCCACGUUGAUGAGUUUCUGAGAAGAUAG